rnacentral:rRNA from 1 species
GACGAACCGUGCGAACGUUGUUCGGAAUCACUGGGCUUAAAGGGCGCGUAGGCGGUCUAGCCAGUCCGGGGUGAAAGCCUCCAGCUCAACUGGAGAAGUGCCUUGGAUACUGCUGGACUCGAGCGAGGUAGGGGUGAUGGGAACUUCCGGUGGAGCGGUGAAAUGCGUUGAUAUCGGAAGGAACGCCGGUGGCGAAAGCGCAUCACUGGACCUCUUCUGACGCUGAGGCGCGAAAGCCAGGGGAGCAAACGGG